AGUAUAGUGGUUAGUAUCCCCACCUCUCACGUGGGAGACCGGGGUUCGAUUCCCCG
rnacentral:tRNA from 1 species